CUCGUAGGCUGCCAACUAAGUCAGACGUGAAAUCCCUCGGCUUAACCGGGGAACUGCGUCUGAUACUGGAUGGCUUGAGUUCGGGAGAGGGAUGCGGAAUUCCAGGUGUAGCGGUGAAAUGCGUAGAUAUCUGGAGGAACACCGGUGGCGAAGGCGGCAUCCUGGACCGAUACUGACGCUGAGGAGCGAAAGCCAGGGGAGCAAACG
rnacentral:rRNA from 1 species